rnacentral:rRNA from 1 species
AUUGAACGCUGGCGGCAGGCCUAACACAUGCAAGUCGAACGAGUCGCGUACGGGUGAGCAAUGUACGGGAAACUGCCUGAUGGAGGGGGAUACAUACGCGAAACGUUAGCUAAUACCGCAUACCACCAGCUGUGCCCAGAUGGGUUGAGCUUGUUGGUGGGGUAACGGCUCACCAGGGAGACGAUCCCGAGCUGGUCUGAGAGGAUGACCAUCCACACUGUAACUGAGACACGGGCCAUACUCCUACGGGAGGCAGCAGUGGGGAAUAGUGUACAAGUGGCGAAAGCCUGAUCCAGCCAUCCCGCGUGUAUGAAGAAGGCCUUCGGGUUGUAAAGCACUUUUGGCGGGGAGGCGGUACCCGCAGAAGAAGCACCGGCUAACUCCGUGCCAGCAGCCGCGGUAAUUC